GACUCGAUGGCGGAUCGUCCGCACCUGCGCUCCGUAAGGGAAUUCCACACCUUCCGCAGGAAGCGCCUGUUCGAAUCAGGCUCGAGUCA